UACAGAGGGGGCAAGCGUUGUUCGGAAUUACUGGGCGUAAAGGGCGCGUAGGCGGCCCGCUAAGUCGAACGUGAAAUCCCCGAGCUCAACUCGGGAACUGCGUGUGAGACUGGCAGGCUCGAGGGCAGGAGAGGAACGCGGAAUUCCAGGUGUAGCGGUGAAAUGCGUAGAUAUCUGGAGGAACACCGGUGGCGAAGGCGGCGUUCUGGACUGUCUCUGACACUGAAGAACGAAAGCCAGGGGAGCAAACGGG
rnacentral:rRNA from 1 species